rnacentral:tRNA from 1 species
GCUAAGGUGGCAGAGCCCGGAAAUUGCAAAAGGCCUAAGCCCUUUAAACAGGGGUUCAAAUCCUCUCCUUAACU